ACGUAGGGUGCGAGCGUUGUCCGGAAUUACUGGGCGUAAAGAGCUCGUAGGCGGUUUGUCACGUCGUCUGUGAAAUCCUAGGGCUUAACCCUGGACGUGCAGGCGAUACGGGCUGACUUGAGUACUACAGGGGAGACUGGAAUUUCUGGUGUGGGGUGGGAUGGCACGAAAAUAAGGAGGACCCCGAAGGGCAAGGGAAGGUUCUGGGUUGUAACCUGAGGUUGGGGGGCGAAAGCAUGGUAGCGAACAG
rnacentral:rRNA from 1 species